GCCUGGCUGGCUCAGUUGGUAGAGCAUGGGACUCUUGAUCUCAGGGUCAUGAGUUUGAGCCCCAUGCUGGGUA
rnacentral:tRNA from 1 species